AUAUGUAUGUGUGUGUGUGUGUGUGUGUGUGUGUGUGUAUGUAUAUAUAUACACACACACGCACACAUACAUACAUACAUACAUACAUGC
rnacentral:miRNA from 11 species